AGAACUGUAGAGCUGAAUGUUAUCCCAAGGGUAAUCUGAUCUAACUGUUUCCUUAUCUGUAGCAUCCCAGAGAGACAAGCAUCCAACGUAUGCCUACAAAUGCCCAAUGAAGGAGGUCCUACCUACCACCUUCCAAGGUUACCUUCUGUCUCUCAUCUCCUGGGAACUAUCUGGUCUAUGGUUCUGCCGCACAACCAGAACAAAGCUUGGGGGAUAGAAUAGGAACCUGCACAAAGACUCAUUUCUUGGGAGAGAAGAAUUUCUGGCUCAACUGCCUGUGUCUCCUGCCAACCCGAGGCUGACGAAGAUGCUAAUCCGGUGGUGCUUGAACAAAACCUACAAAAUUAAAAUAGCCUCAUUUAAAGGGAAUGCAUCUGAUGACUUUGAUUUGCUUAAAAAGUAAAUAUUUUUCCUCCCCUGUAAAGCGACAACAUACAAGAAGGCCACAAAUUUUAAGGCAAUAAAAUAGGUAUUUCUCAA